ACACGUGGGUAACCUGCCCUUAAGUGGGGGAUAACAUUUGGAAACAGAUGCUAAUACCGCAUAAAUCCAAGAACCGCAUGGUUCUUGGCUGAAAGAUGGCGUAAGCUAUCGCUUUUGGAUGGACCCGCGGCGUAUUAGCUAGUUGGUGAGGUAACGGCUCACCAAGGCAAUGAUACGUAGCCGAACUGAGAGGUUGAUCGGCCACAUUGGGACUGAGACACGGCCCAAACUCCUACGGGAGGCAGCAGUAGGGAAUCUUCCACAAUGGACGCAAGUCUGAUGGAGCAACGCCGCGUGAGUGAAGAAGGCUUUCGGGUCGUAAAACUCUGUUGUUGGAGAAGAAUGGUCGGCAGAGUAACUGUUGUCGGCGUGACGGUAUCCAACCAGAAAGCCACGGCUAACUACGUGCCAGCAGCCGCGGUAAUACGUAGGUGGCAAGCGUUAUCCGGAUUUAUUGGGCGUAAAGCGAGCGCAGGCGGUUUUUUAAGUCUGAUGUGAAAGCCCUCGGCUUAACCGAGGAAGUGCAUCGGAAACUGGGAAACUUGAGUGCAGAAGAGGACAGUGGAACUCCAUGUGUAGCGGUGAAAUGCGUAGAUAUAUGGAAGAACACCAGUGGCGAAGGCGGCUGUCUGGUCUGUAACUGACGCUGAGGCUCGAAAGCAUGGGUAGCGAACAGGAUUAGAUACCCUGGUAGUCCAUGCCGUAAACGAUGAAUGCUAGGUGUUGGAGGGUUUCCGCCCUUCAGUGCCGCAGCUAACGCAUUAAGCAUUCCGCCUGGGGAGUACGACCGCAAGGUUGAAACUCAAAGGAAUUGACGGGGGCCCGCACAAGCGGUGGAGCAUGUGGUUUAAUUCGAAGCAACGCGAAGAACCUUACCAGGUCUUGACAUCUUUUG
rnacentral:rRNA from 1 species